rnacentral:rRNA from 1 species
CAGUCAUGCCGACGGGAAUCAACUUAGAGGAACUCUGGGUGCACUUCUUCGUUUGGCAGGUUAGUGUCGAUUUUGGAUGUCAUAAAAUAAUUGGGGGAAGGUAGCUCUUUCGGGAGUGUUAUAGCCCUUGGUAGAUGUGAUGUCUGGGAUCGAGGAUUGCAACGGAUACCCUUCGGGGCUAGCUGCCUGAUCUCUAAUUGGUGUUGGGUUACGGAUAGCAUGCUGACCGUGAUCUAAUUACUGGUUAAAAGGUUAGAGUAUGCAUAAAUUCGUUAAGGAUGUUGACGUA